CGGAGGGCGGUGGCGCUCUGGCACGCUUGCGCGGCGAGUAGAACGUGUGGCGGCGGCUGAGAUCGCGUCUCUUUCGCUCCCAGUCCGGCUGUUGCUCUAGUGAGCGCCUGGCGAGUCCGUCCCGUCCAUCACCUGCAGCCGAUCGCCCGCCCGCUUCUCUUCGCGGCGGCCUCUCACCAACACCGACACUCACAUUGACACCUCCAAGCCGGCCAGCCGCCUUAUUCGCUGCCUUUCAAUCUCUACACAUGGCCUCCUCCGCGCAGAGCGGCGGCUCCUCCGGGGGACCUGCGGUCCCCACCGUGCAGCGGGGCAUCGUCAAGAUGGUCCUCUCAGGGUGUGCCAUCAUUGUCCGCGGGCAGCCUCGUGGUGGGCCUCCUCCCGAGAGGCAGAUCAACCUUAGCAACAUUCGUGCUGGAAACCUCGCCCGCAGAGCAGCUGCCACACAACCUGAUGCAAAAGACACCCCGGAUGAGCCCUGGGCCUUUCCCGCCCGAGAGUUCCUUCGGAAGAAGCUGAUUGGGAAGGAAGUCUGCUUCACGAUAGAAAACAAGACUCCCCAGGGGCGAGAGUAUGGCAUGAUCUACCUGGGAAAAGAUACCAAUGGGGAAAACAUUGCAGAAUCUCUGGUUGCAGAGGGCUUGGCCACCCGGAGAGAAGGCAUGAGAGCCAACAACCCUGAGCAGAACCGGCUGGCGGAAUGUGAGGAGCAAGCGAAGGCAGCUAAGAAAGGGAUGUGGAGCGAGGGGAGCGGUUCGCAGACCAUCCGGGACCUCAAGUACACCAUCGAGAACCCAAGGCACUUUGUGGACUCACACCACCAGAAGCCUGUCAACGCUAUCAUCGAGCACGUGCGGGAUGGCAGUGUGGUCCGGGCCCUGCUCCUGCCAGAUUACUACCUGGUCACGGUCAUGCUGUCAGGGAUCAAGUGCCCAACUUUUCGCCGGGAGGCAGACGGCAGUGAAACACCAGAGCCUUUUGCAGCAGAAGCCAAAUUUUUCACCGAGUCCCGACUGCUUCAGAGAGACGUCCAGAUCAUUCUGGAGAGCUGCCACAACCAGAACAUUCUGGGAACCAUCCUUCAUCCCAACGGCAACAUCACAGAGCUCCUCCUGAAGGACGGUUUUGCCCGCUGCGUGGAUUGGUCCAUUGCGGUUUACACGCGGGGUGCAGAAAAGCUGAGGGCGGCUGAGAGGUUUGCCAAGGAUCGAAGGCUGAGGAUAUGGAGGGACUAUGUGGCUCCCACUGCUAAUUUGGACCAAAAGGACAAGCAGUUUGUUGCCAAGGUGAUGCAGGUGCUGAAUGCUGAUGCCAUUGUGGUGAAGCUGAACUCCGGAGACUACAAGACCAUCCACCUGUCCAGCAUCCGACCUCCGAGGCUGGAGGGGGAGAAUACACAGGAUAAGAACAAGAAACUACGUCCCCUCUAUGACAUUCCUUACAUGUUUGAAGCCCGGGAAUUUCUGCGAAAGAAGCUUAUCGGGAAAAAGGUCAAUGUGACUGUGGACUACAUUAGACCAGCCAGCCCGGCCACAGAGACAGUGCCCGCCUUUUCAGAGCGUACCUGUGCCACCGUCACCAUUGGAGGAAUCAACAUUGCCGAGGCCCUUGUCAGCAAAGGUCUCGCCACGGUGAUCAGAUACCGGCAGGACGACGACCAGCGGUCCUCUCACUAUGACGAGCUGCUUGCCGCCGAGGCCAGAGCUAUUAAGAAUGGCAAAGGAUUGCAUAGCAAGAAGGAAGUGCCUAUCCACCGCGUCGCAGACAUAUCUGGGGACACCCAGAAGGCAAAGCAGUUUCUGCCCUUCCUUCAGCGGGCAGGUCGUUCUGAAGCUGUGGUGGAGUAUGUGUUCAGUGGGUCUCGUCUCAAGCUAUAUUUGCCAAAGGAAACUUGCCUUAUCACCUUCUUGCUUGCGGGCAUCGAAUGCCCCAGAGGAGCCCGAAACCUCCCAGGCUUGGUGCAGGAGGGAGAGCCCUUCAGCGAGGAAGCAACGCUCUUCACCAAGGAACUGGUGCUGCAGCGAGAGGUGGAGGUGGAGGUGGAGAGCAUGGACAAGGCCGGCAACUUCAUCGGCUGGCUGCACAUCGACGGCGCCAACCUGUCCGUCUUGCUGGUGGAGCACGCGCUCUCCAAGGUCCACUUCACCGCCGAGCGCAGCUCCUACUACAAAUCCCUGCUGUCUGCCGAGGAGGCCGCCAAGCAGAAGAAGGAGAAGGUCUGGGCCCACUACGAGGAGCAGCCCGUGGAGGAGGUGGCGCCCAUGCUGGAGGAGAAGGAGCGCUCGGCCAGCUACAAGCCAGUGUUUGUGACCGAGAUCACCGACGACCUGCACUUCUACGUGCAGGACGUGGAGACAGGCACCCAGCUGGAGAAGCUAAUGGAGAACAUGCGCAAUGACAUCGCCAGCCACCCUCCCGUCGAGGGCUCCUACGCCCCGCGCCGCGGAGAAUUCUGCAUUGCCAAAUUCGUGGACGGAGAAUGGUACCGGGCCCGCGUAGAGAAAGUCGAGUCUCCUGCCAAAGUGCACGUCUUCUACAUCGACUACGGCAACAGGGAGAUCCUGCCAUCCACCCGCCUGGGCACUCUGCCACCUGCCUUCAGCACCCGCGUGCUGCCAGCUCAAGCCACAGAGUACGCCUUCGCCUUCAUCCAGGUUCCCCAGGACGAGGACGCGCGAACAGACGCCGUGGAUAGCGUGGUGCGGGACAUCCAGAACACGCAGUGCCUGCUCAACGUGGAGCACCUGAGCGCCGGCUGCCCCCAUGUCACCCUGCAGUUUGCCGAUUCCAAGGGGGACGUGGGGCUGGGCCUGGUGAAGGAGGGGCUGGUCAUGGUGGAGGUGCGCAAGGAGAAGCAGUUCCAGAAGGUGGUACGUGCUGUGCUGGCGGGGCGGCCUGUCCUGUGUCCCUCUGUCACCACCAUCUCGGAGAGGGACUGGGCGGGGACAGCACCAAGAGCCAGGGAGGGAGCAGGGAGCCGGGAGCCCACCAUCCUGCUGCUCCUGCUAGGGAAAGAUAAUGGAUUUGCGUUUGUUGGGGUUUAAAAAAAAAAAAAAAAGCUAAUUACAUCCCAAGUUAAUUGACUGCUGGUUUGGCUGAGAACGCAGCUAUAAACUGGAGCGGAAGGUGUCCCUUCACCCGUACCCUCUGGUGACAGGCCGGGAGGCUCUGCCAGAGUGCACACGGAGAGGGUCACCGCCCGUCAUGCUCUCUCCGAUUCUCACUUCCCCCUCCCCGGCAUACGCCUCCCAAGUCCACGGCCAGCUCCCAGCGCUCCGUUGCCUCUGAGCCAGAGCUGCCCGGGAGGCAGCACCAGGGCCGGAAGGGCUCUGCCGGAACAGCCCUCCAGCCUGCUCAGGAGGGCCCGGGGCCUGGAGCUGGGCCUGAGUCUCACCCCCCCAUCCUUCACGACACAUCUGGCCCUUGAGAUCAGCCUUGGGAAGCCUAAGGCUCCCGCUCAUGAAGUGAGGCGAGCAUGGCCUGCCUGGAUGCUCACCUGGGUGGCCCACAAGGUCGGGGACUGACCCUUGGGGAACCAACCACCUUGCCCCACUCAGCCGUCGAUCGCCAGGGCCAGGCCUCUCCCACUCCGCACGGUGUGCACCUGCAUUGCCCCAGCCUCUCCCCACGACUCAGCUGCCUCAAAGGACAGCCCGGGGGGAGCCCACGAGCUUCUGCUCUUCCAAGUGGAGGGACAGGAGCAGCAACGCCAGACCCGGCAUCCUCCCCUCCCCCUCUUGGCUCUCCUCUCACCCCACGUGGUCACGUGAUGAAUUGGUGGUUUAUGGAUCCGUGGCUGUGGUUUUCCAAGCUGAUAACUCAUUUGGCCAAGACCCCAGUGCAAAGCGCUCCAGCAUCUCAUCCGGACGGGAGAGGCUGCGCCCUGGUCUUCCCCCGGUUUCCCGAAUCACUCCCAGGAGCUCACUUAGGUUUCCCUGUAAAAGAGGAGUUCUCAGUGUCCCCCUGUGAAGCUAACCCUGAUGUCUCUGGUGUUUAAAAACACCUGACACGCGCGUGCUUCCACUUACUCUUUCAGCAAGUGUUUACCGGGGGCCCGCAAAUCUCAGUGAACCAGAGACAGCAUUUCUGCCCUGUGGAGCUUGAGCUUACACUCAAGCAUGAGGAAACAAACCAUAAAAUAUCACAGUCCGUGAAAUCAAAUAUUAGACAAUAAGUGCAAUGGGAAAGAGAAGGUAGAAGGGAAUCAGGAGUGGGUUGGACGGGGUGGUUGUGAUCUUAAACCGGAUCGCCUGAGGCCUGGUUAAGGUGAUACCUGAUCAAAGACUUGAAGAGGCGGGACCGGUGCCCAGGUGGACAGGAGGGGGCAGCGGGUUUCAGGAGAUGGACCAGCCAGUGCAGAGAGUCACCGAACAGGAGGAGACUGGGGCUCCGCACUCGGGUUUUACUUGGAGGGAGCUGGGGACCUGCUGGGCAGGGAGGUGGCAUGACCUGGCCUGGGUCCCUUCUGGCUGCUCAGUUGCAAACACCCCACCUUGACCACCUCCCUCUCCUGUCCCCCCAGAUCACAGAGUACCUGAAUGCCCAGGAGUCAGCCAAGAGCGCCAGGCUGAACCUGUGGCGCUACGGAGACUUCCGGGCCGAUGACGCAGAUGAGUUUGGCUACAGCCGCUAGAGAGGGGAUCGGGUCUGGCCUCCAGCACUGCUCACGCCAGUACCUCUUCCUCUGCCGGGAGGAUGUUUUCAGCUCCAGACCUCAAAUCAGGGGCAUAGAUUGGGUCCAGCUUUGCUUCAGUGUAUGGAAAUGACUUGUGGAAUGGCAUCUGGGCUGGGGGUGGGGUCAGGGGCACCCAGGGCUCUCGGGGGGGUGGGGGCAGGGCAUUGUCUUCCGCGGUCUCUCCCAGCUGAUUUUGUUUUUAUUUGGGGGUUUGCGGUGUGUUUGGUUUGGUUUUUUAAUUGUCCUCAAAUCAGGAAGAAACACGAAAGACUUUGUCAUAAUGGAGGGCAUAUCCUGGCACCCAAGGCCAGCUGCCAGUUGGCACCCCACUUCGACCCCAGACCGCCCUUCUCCCCAGCUCUCUGUCCAGCUGUUGAUUAUGUGAUUUCUCUGAUACGUCCAUUCUCAAAUGCCAGCGUGUCCACAUCUGCCCCUUUGCCAGCCUUCCCUGUUUCUGUAUUUAAAGCUUUUUGAGACCCAAUAAAAUAGUACAUGCUGUCUGCA